UGCAGUCGAGCGGACAGAUGGGAGCUUGCUCCCUGAUGUUAGCGGCGGACGGGUGAGUAACACGUGGGUAACCUGCCUGUAAGACUGGGAUAACUCCGGGAAACCGGGGCUAAUACCGGAUGGUUGUUUGAACCGCAUGGUUCAAACAUAAAAGGUGGCUUCGGCUACCACUUACAGAUGGACCCGCGGCGCAUUAGCUAGUUGGUGAGGUAACGGCUCACCAAGGCAACGAUGCGUAGCCGACCUGAGAGGGUGAUCGGCCACACUGGGACUGAGACACGGCCCAGACUCCUACGGGAGGCAGCAGUAGGGAAUCUUCCGCAAUGGACGAAAGUCUGACGGAGCAACGCCGCGUGAGUGAUGAAGGUUUUCGGAUCGUAAAGCUCUGUUGUUAGGGAAGAACAAGUACCGUUCGAAUAGGGCGGUACCUUGACGGUACCUAACCAGAAAGCCACGGCUAACUACGUGCCAGCAGCCGCGGUAAUACGUAGGUGGCAAGCGUUGUCCGGAAUUAUUGGGCGUAAAGGGCUCGCAGGCGGUUUCUUAAGUCUGAUGUGAAAGCCCCCGGCUCAACCGGGGAGGGUCAUUGGAAACUGGGGAACUUGAGUGCAGAAGAGGAGAGUGGAAUUCCACGUGUAGCGGUGAAAUGCGUAGAGAUGUGGAGGAACACCAGUGGCGAAGGCGACUCUCUGGUCUGUAACUGACGCUGAGGAGCGAAAGCGUGGGGAGCGAACAGGAUUAGAUACCCUGGUAGUCCACGCCGUAAACGAUGAGUGCUAAGUGUUAGGGGGUUUCCGCCCCUUAGUGCUGCAGCUAACGCAUUAAGCACUCCGCCUGGGGAGUACGGUCGCAAGACUGAAACUCAAAGGAAUUGACGGGGGCCCGCACAAGCGGUGGAGCAUGUGGUUUAAUUCGAAGCAACGCGAAGAACCUUACCAGGUCUUGACAUCCUCUGACAAUCCUAGAGAUAGGACGUCCCCUUCGGGGGCAGAGUGACAGGUGGUGCAUGGUUGUCGUCAGCUCGUGUCGUGAGAUGUUGGGUUAAGUCCCGCAACGAGCGCAACCCUUGAUCUUAGUUGCCAGCAUUCAGUUGGGCACUCUAAGGUGACUGCCGGUGACAAACCGGAGGAAGGUGGGGAUGACGUCAAAUCAUCAUGCCCCUUAUGACCUGGGCUACACACGUGCUACAAUGGACAGAACAAAGGGCAGCGAAACCGCGAGGUUAAGCCAAUCCCACAAAUCUGUUCUCAGUUCGGAUCGCAGUCUGCAACUCGACUGCGNGAAGCNGGAAUCGCUAGUAAUCGCGGANCA
rnacentral:rRNA from 1 species